rnacentral:rRNA from 1 species
ACGGAGGAUGCGAGCAUUAUCCGGAUUUAUUGGGUUUAAAGGGUGCGUAGGCGGAUUAAUAAGUCAGUGGUGAAAACCUUCAGCUUAACUGGAGAACUGCCAUUGAUACUGUUAGUCUUGAGUACGGUCAAGGUAGGCGGAAUGUGUAAUGUAGCGGUAAAAUGCUUAGAUAUUACACAGAACACCGGUUGCGAAGGCAUCUUAUUGGGCCAAUACUGACGCUGAGGCACGAAAGCGUGGGGAGCGAACAG